rnacentral:rRNA from 1 species
AGUGAACGCUGGCGGUAGGCCUAACAAUGCAAGUCGAACGGCAGCACAGUAAGAGCUUGCUCUUACGGGUGGCGAGUGGCGGACGGGUGAGGAAUACAUCGGAAUCUACUCUGUCGUGGGGGAUAACGUAGGGAAACUUACGCUAAUACCGCAUACGACCUACGGGUGAAAGCAGGGGAUCUUCGGACCUUGCGCGAUUGAAUGAGCCGAUGUCGGAUUAGCUAGUUGGCGGGGUAAAGGCCCACCAAGGCGACGAUCCGUAGCUGGUCUGAGAGGAUGAUCAGCCACACUGGAACUGAGACACGGUCCAGACUCCUACGGGAGGCAGCAGUGGGGAAUAUUGGACAAUGGGCGCAAGCUGAUCCAGCCAUACCGCGUG